GAUAACGCUACGACAGGCCUACCACAUGCAGAUCGAGGGGUACAGGGGUAGCAAUACUCUGCUGACGACCGGCGCACGGGUGAGUAACACGUAUGCAACCUACCUACAACAGGGGGGAUAGCCCGGAGAAAUUCGGAUUAAUACCGCAUAAAACAGGGGCUCCGCAUGGAGCUAUUUGUUAAAGAUUUAUCGGUUGUAGAUGGGCAUGCGUUCCAUUAGCUAGUUGGUAGGGUAACGGCCUACCAAGGCAACGAUGGAUAGGGGAACUGAGAGGUUUAUCCCCCACACUGGUACUGAGACACGGACCACACUCCUACGGGAGGCAGCAGUGAGGAAUAUUGGUCAAUGGACGAGAGUCUGAACCAGCCAAGUCGCGUGAAGGAUGACUGCCCUACGGGUUGUAAACUUCUUUUGUGCUAGAGUAAAACAGGGUAUGUAUACCCUCUUGCAAGUAUAGUACGAAUAAGCAUCGGCUAACUCCGUGCCAGCAGCCGCGGUAAUACGGAGGAUGCGAGCGUUAUCCGGAUUUAUUGGGUUUAAAGGGUGCGUAGGCGGGAGCUUAAGUCAGC
rnacentral:rRNA from 1 species